rnacentral:rRNA from 1 species
GCAUCGGACGUCUACAACCGGCCGAUGCACACAUUCUUGAGUGCCU